GAGUUUGAUCAUGGCUCAGAUUGAACGCUGGCGGCAUGCCUUACACAUGCAAGUCGAACGGCAGCACGGGAGCUUGCUCCUGGUGGCGAGUGGCGAACGGGUGAGUAAUGCAUCGGAACGUAUCCUGGAGUGGGGGAUAACGUAGCGAAAGUUACGCUAAUACCGCAUAUUCUGUGAGCAGGAAAGCGGGGGACCUUCGGGCCUCGCGCUCUUGGAGCGGCCGAUGUCGGAUUAGCUAGUUGGUGAGGUAAAGGCUCACCAAGGCGACGAUCCGUAGCAGGUCUGAGAGGAUGAUCUGCCACACUGGAACUGAGACACGGUCCAGACUCCUACGGGAGGCAGCAGUGGGAAUUUUGGACAAUGGGGCAACCCUGAUCCAGCCAUGCCGCGUGAGUGAAGAAGGCC
rnacentral:rRNA from 1 species